rnacentral:rRNA from 1 species
UACGUAGGGUGCAAGCGUUGUCCGGAAUUAUUGGGCGUAAAGGGCGCGUAGGUGGCGGGACAAGCGUGCGGUGAAAGCCUGGGGCUCAACCCCGGGUCGGCCGUGCGAACUGUUUUGCUUGAGCACUGUAGAGGCAGGCGGAAUUCCGGGUGUAGCGGUGGAAUGCGUAGAGAUCCGGAAGAACACCGGUGGCGAAGGCGGCCUGCUGGGCAGUAGCUGACACUGAGGCGCGACAGCGUGGGGAGCAAACAGG